rnacentral:rRNA from 1 species
UACGUAGGGUGCAAGCGUUAAUCGGAAUUACUGGGCGUAAAGCGUGCGCAGGCGGUUAUAUAAGACAGAUGUGAAAUCCCCGGGCUCAACCUGGGAACUGCAUUUGUGACUGCAAGGCUAGAGUACGGCAGAGGGGGAUGGAAUUCCGCGUGUAGCAGUGAAAUGCGUAGAUAUGCGGAGGAACACCAAUGGCGAAGGCAAUCCCCUGGGCCUGUACUGACGCUCAUGCACGAAAGCGUGGGGAGCAAACAGG